AAAUAAAUGAAUGCUGAUGUUUAAGCACGUGAUUAAUCCAAGUUGAUGCUCUCAAUCAGACUCAAAGGAAUCAGAUCCUUGCAGAGGAAGGAGGAUUUCCUGCCCUGAGCCAGCUUGACAGGGGAGGGCUCUGGGUGCACAAGGGGUUUUUAUUUUGAUAAGUCUAAGCUUCUGCAGCAAAACCACUUCAAUUAGGGGAUGUCAGCAUGCAUGUCAAAUCAGCUCCCUCUUGAACUUCCAGGUGGAUAGGAUGUUCUGUAUGGUGCUAGGAAAAAGGAGAUUCUGGAAUGAAACAAACUCCUGAAAAUCCUCUUGUGCUAUAAGAAUGGUCAAUUUUUACAGCUUUUUAAUUUCUCUCUGUAAUUUUAAGCUUUAUCCAAUAACCCUCUUAUAGAA